rnacentral:rRNA from 1 species
UACGUAGGUGGCAAGCGUUGUUCGGAAUUAUUGGGCGUAAAGGGCGCGUAGGCGGUUUGUUAAGUCGGUCGUGAAAGCCCGGGGCUCAACCCCGGAGGGUCGACCGAUACUGGCAGACUAGAGUACAGAAGAGGUAACUGGAAUUCCCGGUGUAGCGGUGAAAUGCGUAGAGAUCGGAAAGAACACCAACGGCGAAAGCACUCUGCUGGGCCGACACUGACACUGAGAGACGAAAGCUAGGGGAGCGAAUGGG